GCGCGCUUAGCUCAGGGGUAGAGCGUCUCGUUUACACCGAGAAGGUCCGAGGUUCAAAUCCUCGAGCGCGCA
rnacentral:tRNA from 1 species